rnacentral:rRNA from 1 species
GAUGAACGCUGGCGGCGUGCCUAAUACAUGCAAGUAGAACGCUGAAGCUUGGUGCUUGCACCGAGCUGAUGAGUUGCGAACGGGUGAGUAACGCGUAGGUAACCUGCCUCUUAGCGGGGGAUAACUAUUGGAAACGAUAGCUAAUACCGCAUAAAAGUCGAUAUCGCAUGAUAUUGAUUUGAAAGGUGCAAUUGCAUCACUAAGAGAUGGACCUGCGUUGUAUUAGCUAGUUGGUGAGGUAACGGCUCACCAAGGCGACGAUACAUAGCCGACCUGAGAGGGUGAUCGGCCACACUGGGACUGAGACACGGCCCAGACUCCUACGGGAGGCAGCAGUAGGGAAUCUUCGGCAAUGGGGGCAACCCUGACCGAGCAACGCCGCGUGAGUGAAGAAGGUUUUCGGAUCGUAAAGCUCUGUUGUAAGAGAAGGACGAGUGUGAGAGUGGAAAGUUCACACUGUGACGGUAACUUACCAGAAAGGCGGU